rnacentral:lncRNA from 8 species
AGAUCAGUACUGUGGUUAUGAUGGUUGUAAAGAUGACGGGGAUCAAAUGAUGGGAUGUAAUUAUGAGGUCAUGAUGAUGAUUAUAAUAUGGUUGUUUCACUGAAGAUUCGUAUCCUUUCUCUCCCCCCCCCAGUCGCUCCUGAGUUCUCCUGUUCUGCCAAGCUGCAGGUGCGAGCGGGGGAGGGGCUAACUUGUGAUGUCAGAGGCAAUCCCCUCCCAUCGGUCACCUGGCUGAGAGACGGAAAGAUGCUGACCCCGCCCACACACCUGAGCAGAGAGGAUGCUGGGAAUUACACCCUCAUGGCUUUGAACCGUAUCGGAAAAGCCAAUCACACAGUGGAGGUGGAGGUCCUACAUGACCGUGCUGCUAGAGGAGCUUCCUGUCAGGCUGCUGGGAGUGCCACGGUGGCUCUGCUGCUCCACCAGCUCAUUCAUUGGCUAUAUUGAAUGAUUAUUUUAUUGAUCGAAUGGUUGAAUGAUUAAUUGACUAAUCAGGACAUCAAUCUCUGUGCUGGAGCUUUGUAAUUUGACUGUGAUCUGUGAGGGCAGUCUUCAGUAGAUCUGGAAUCAGAUCUGAGUUAGUAGAAAACCCUUUUUGCCUAAAUGUGAAAUUAACUGUUUUGAAAUGUGUUAUUUUGAAGUAGUGCUAUUGAACAGGUCUAUAAUUAAGCAAUAAGGCCAGAGGGGGUGUGGUAUAUGGCCAAUAUACCACGGCUAAGGGCUGUUCUUAUGCACGGCACAACGGUAUAAAUGUUUAUUUCAAACCCUAACCUUAAAUGUUUAUUACUAAUAAACUACAUAAAUGUUUAAGCCUAAUCCUAACCCUAAAUGUUUAUUACUAAUAAACUAUAGAAAUGUUUAGGCCUAAUCCUAACCCAAAAUGUUAAUUACUAAUAAACUAUAUAAAUGUUUAGGCCUAAUCCUAACCCUAAAUGUUUAUUACUAAUAAACUAUAUAAAUGUUUAGGCCUAAUCCUAACCCUAAAUGUUUAUUACUAAUAAACUAUAUAAAUGUUUAGGCCUAAUCCUAACCCUAAAUGUUUAUUACUAAUAAACUAUAUAAAUGUUUAGGCCUAAUCCUAACCCUAAAUGUUUAUUACUAAUAAACUACAUAAAUGUUUAAGCCUAAUCCUAACCCUAAAUGUUUAUUACUAAUAAACUAUAGAAAUGUUUAGGCCUAAUCCUAACCCAAAAUGUUAAUUACUAAUAAACUAUAUAAAUGUUUAGGCCUAAUCCUAACCCUAAAUGUUUAUUACUAAUAAACUAUAUAAAUGUUUAGGCCUAAUCCUAACCCUAAAUGUUUAUUACUAAUAAACUAUAUAAAUGUUUAGGCCUAAUCCUAACCCAGUCUCUAGCAACAGAUCUGCCAUUAUCCUUAUUGCAAUGUUGUCAAUGUCUUUUGUGACUAAUAAAAGUUGACCCACAAACUGUCAUUGGUUUAACAUAUUUGUUAUCAGGUUGGCUGCAAUGAUGAUGAGUGUGGGUGGAUGUGUUUGUAUGGCAACCACCGUAGGUGACAUAGCCGCGCCAUGUUAUGCAUUUUCAACCAUAGGCUUUGUGCUAUCUGGGAUCCUUGGGAUGUCCCUAGCCUUAAACCUAACCACUACCAUUUUAAAUGUCAACUGCAAUGUUGUAGUGUGGUAUGGACGUCCCAGGGAUUCCAGAUAGCAUGGGCUGUUACCACAGCCAUAAAGUCAAAAACACUGCAUAUUUCUACAAUUCUCUUCUUAAAAUCAGAUUUAAAACCUAAAUCUAACCACACUGCUAACGUUAUACACAACCUCAGCCUAGCCGAAGCUCCAGGGACAUGACUUGUGAUUUUCUUCCCAUUGAGAGUUUUCAUUUUCAGAAUCUUCCCUCGCUGAACAUGGUCAGCACAGAAUAUUAACAGGCUACCAUUACCAAUGAACCGGGCUAAUGUGACUUCCCUAUCUCUUUCUUAACGGCCUUGGUUAAUCGAAUAGGGUGUAGUUGAGACCCCGUGGUCGCAUCAAACAUGAUUACAACUUUCCACUUCCGACACAUUAUUACUUUCGUUUUUCACUACCAUCACCCUCUUCACGUUCUCAACACUCAAAGUGCCUGUGCUGUCAGCAGCGUUUAUAGCAGAGGACAGCAGUGGAGAAGGUAGAAAGUUUAAAGUUCCUCGGCGUACAUAUCACAGACGAAUUGAAAUGGUCCACCCACACAGACAGUCCACCCACACAGACAGGAGGCUGAAGAAAUGUGUCUCGUCACCUAAAACCCUCACAAACUUUUACAGACGCACAAUUGAGAGCAUCCUGUCAGGCUGUAUCACCGCCUGGUACGGCAACUGCACUGCCCACAACCGCAAGGCAAAUUACCUGCCCUCCAGGACGCCUACAGCACCCAAUGUCACAGGAAGGUCAAAAAGAUCAUCAAGGACAACAACCACCUGAGCCACUGCCUGUUCACCCCGCUACCAUCCAGAAGGCGAGGUCAGUAUAGGUGCAUCAAAGCUGGGACAGAGAGACUGAAAAACAGCUUCUAUCUCAAGGUCAUCAGACUGUUAAACAGCCAUCACUAGCACAGAGAGGCUGCGACCUACAUACAGACUUGAAAUCACUGGCCACUUUAAUAAACGGAACACUAGUCAUUUUAAUAAUGCCACUUUAAUAAUGUUUACAUAUCUUGCAUUACUCAUCUCAUUUGUAUAUACUGUAUUCUAUACUAUCUAUUGCAGCUUGCCUAUGCCGCUCUAACAUUGCUCAUCCAUAUAUUUAUAUAUUUUUAUUCCUUACUUAGAUUUGUUUGUAUUAGGUAUUUGUUGUGGAAUUGUUAGAUAUUACUUGUUAGAUAUUGCUGCACUGUCAGAACUAGAAGCACAAGCAUUUUGCUACACUCGCAAUAACAUCUGCUAACCAUGUGUAUGUGACCAAUAACAUUUUAUUUUAUUUUAUUAGCAACACAGGUGUGAGAUUUUAAAUGCUCAUGUUAAUGUAUAUAAGAAAAGAGAUACUAUUGAGUCU